GACGAACGCUGGCGGCGUGCUUAACACAUGCAAGUCGAACGGUGAACGAGGGAGCUUGCUCCCUCCGGAUCAGUGGCGAACGGGUGAGUAACACGUGAGCAAUCUGCCCCGAACUCUGGGAUAAGCGUUGGAAACGACGUCUAAUACCGGAUACGACGCGGGAGGGCAUCCUCUCCGCGUGGAAAGAACUUCGGUUCGGGAUGAGCUCGCGGCCUAUCGGCUUGUUGGUGAGGUAACGGCUCACCAAGGCGACGACGGGUAGCCGGCCUGAGAGGGUGACCGGCCACACUGGGACUGAGACACGGCCCAGACUCCUACGGGAGGCAGCAGUGGGGAAUAUUGCACAAUGGGCGCAAGCCUGAUGCAGCAACGCCGCGUGAGGGACGACGGCCUUCGGGUUGUAAACCUCUUUUAGCAGGGAAGAAGCGAAAGUGACGGUACCUGCAGAAAAAGCACCGGCUAACUACGUG
rnacentral:rRNA from 1 species